rnacentral:rRNA from 1 species
UACGAAGGGGGCUAGCGUUGCUCGGAAUUACUGGGCGUAAAGCGCACGUAGGCGGAUUGUUAAGUCGGGGGUGAAAUCCUGGAACUCAACUCCAGAACUGCCUUCGAAACUGGCGAUCUUGAGUCCGGGAGAGGUGAGUGGAACUGCGAGUGUAGAGGUGAAAUUCGUAGAUAUUCGCAAGAACACCAGUGGCGAAGGCGGCUCACUGGCCCGGUACUGACGCUGAGGUGCGAAAGCGUGGGGAGCGAACAGG